UACGGAGGGUGCGAGCGUUGUCCGGAAUCACUGGGCGUAAAGGGCGCGUAGGCGGCUCGGUAAGCGUGCGGUGAAAGCCUGGGGCUCAACCCCGGGUCGGCCGUGCGAACUGUCGAGCUGGAGCACUGUAGAGGCAGGCGGAAUUCCGCGUGUAGCAGUGAAAUGCGUAGAUAUGCGGAGGAACACCGAUGGCGAAGGCAAUCCCCUGGGCCUGCACUGACGCUCAUGCACGAAAGCGUGGGGAGCAAACAGG
rnacentral:rRNA from 1 species